rnacentral:rRNA from 1 species
GACGAACGCUGGCGGCGUGCCUAAUACAUGCAAGUCGAACGCAGUGGGGACGGGUGAGCAACACGUGGGUAACCUCCCAUCAGAGGGGAUAACACCUGGAAACAGGUGCUAAACCGAUACUGAUGGAUGGACCCGCGGUUCAUUAUCUAGUUGGUGGGGUACCGGCUCACCAAGGCCACGAUGCAUAGCCGACCUGAGAGGGUGAUGGGCGACACUGUGACUGAGACACGGCCGAGACUCCGACUGGAGGCAGCAGUAGGGAAGCUUCGGCAAUGGACGAAAGUCUGACCGAGCAACGCCGCGUGAGUGAAGAAGGUUUUCGGAUCGUAAAACUCUGUUGUUAGAGAAGCGGUAUCUAACCAGAAAGCCACGGCUAACGACGUGCCAGCAGCCGGGGUAAUAC